UACAGAGGGCUCAAGCGUUGUUCGGAUUCAUUGGGCGUAAAGGGUGCGUAGGUGGCGGGGUAAGUCAGGUGUGAAAUUUCGGAGCUCAACUCCGAAACUGCAUUUGAUACUGCCUUGCUUGAGGACUGGAGAGGAGACUGGAAUUCACGGUGUAGCAGUGAAAUGCGUAGAGAUCGUGAGGAAGACCAGUGGCGAAGGCGGGUCUCUGGACAGUUCCUGACACUGAGGCACGAAGGCCAGGGGAGCAAACGGG
rnacentral:rRNA from 1 species